rnacentral:rRNA from 1 species
UGGGGAAUAUUGCACAAUGGGCGCAAGCCUGAUGCAGCCAUGCCGCGUGUGUGAAGAAGGCCUUCGGGUUGUAAAGCACUUUCAGCGGGGAGGAAGGCGUUAAGGUUAAUAACCUUGGCGAUUGACGUUACCCGCAGAAGAAGCACCGGCUAACUCCGUGCCAGCAGCCGCGGUAAUACGGAGGGUGCAAGCGUUAAUCGGAAUUACUGGGCGUAAAGCGCACGCAGGCGGUCUGUCAAGUCGGAUGUGAAAUCCCCGGGCUCAACCUGGGAACUGCAUCUGAUACUGGCAAGCUUGGGGCUCGUAGAGGGGGGUAGAAUUCCAGGUGGAGCGGUGAAAUGCGUAGAGAUCUGGAGGAAUACCGGUGGCGAAGGCGGCCCCCUGGACGAAGACUGACGCUCAGGUGCGAAAGCGUGGGGAGCAAACAGG